rnacentral:lncRNA from 1 species
CUCGGAGUCCGGACUUCUUUAUCAAUGAACGGUUUCAACCUGGUUCUAUACAUUUAAUGCGGCUAUAUAAUUGUGAGGUUGAUUUAGUAAGAUCUUUUCAUUCUCAUUAAAUAGAGUGACAUGUCAGCGUUUUUAAUGAUGUGGCAAAGAGUUAACGAUGAGAGAGGUGAAAUGAGUUUCAUGGGGAUGAAACCAUGUAUACAUUGUUUCCAAGGUAGCUUGUGUCUUGCAUGUAGAGUAGGAAACAACAAAGAAUGAAACAAUGCAUUGCAGGAAGAUAUUUCAACCAUGAAUUAAAUGUUGUUUUGCUUAUGUGAUAUUUUGGAAACAUAAAUAUGAAAUCACUCAUUGAAAUAUAAAAAUAGAACAUGCUUUCAUGAAAUUAAAGACACAUCGCCCUUCUCUCUCUCACCCUCCCGCCAUUCUCUCACACUUCUUUUUCUAUGCAGGACCCUUUAUGGAUCCAAUUCAUGUUUCUAAACAUUGUAGCUAACAUAACAUGUUAUAUAAAAUAAUUGUGAGUUCCAUCUAAGAAAUAGUGGACGGUUCCAUACAUUGGAGAUUCUUUACAAGGUAGAAUCUGGUGGUCAGCUAGCUCAACGAUGGCGGGGCACGAGGACAAAACCAUUGAAAUGGUAGUUGGAGUGCUAGAGGAUGGUCAACAAGUAUAACAAGGAUAAGAACAAUAGUAACAUCAAGAUGCGGCUACAGGAGAAGCAACAAGAAAAAGGUUGCAGCGAGCAGGGUAGGAUCUCAGCGUUGUGGUGCUUCAAUGAGAUAGUCUGCCGCCAAAGUAGAGCAAUGAUAUAUAGAGUAGGGAAGGGAUAAAGAACCUUAGCAAGGAGAAGAAGGGCCCUAUAUAGAAACAUGAAGAAGUGCGGUAUCAUAACUAGUUGCCUUAGAAAUUAAGUGACUUGAAAUGCUCAGUUCCAUUCACACACCUCCUCGAUCUCCAACCGCCGCUCUUAACGUUGGAAGCCUGUCUAGAGUUUGAUGUGUCAACUCAUUCUUGCAGAGAAUGUCUACCGUCUUCUUGCUGCCCGUGGCUCCAGCAAUAUUGACACCAAUGUUAGGCUAUCCGUCUAUCCCUCUCGAAGCCCUCUCCUUGAAUCGUAACCCGGCCGCUCGUUUCACGCAAUGUUCAUGGUGGGAAGGUAAAUAUAUGUAUUUCAUUUGAAAUUAUAAAGGCUUAUUUUGUUCUUAUUAGGGCGAGUCUUGAACAAAUAAUUACUCUACUAAUGCACAAUGUGGGAAAAAAACUAUGUAUAUUCAUAAUGAUUUCUUAAAAGUAUACUUUUGUAGCAGUAUCUAAUGAAAAAAAUUUAAUGAACUGAAAAUUGGUAAAAGGCUUGCCCCAAAACGAAAUAAAAUAUGCAUUAUAGAUAAAAGCGGAGGGUGUAAAUAGACGACAUAAACUAUUUGCAUGUUUCAAUCUGUCACCAGAGUAAGCUAACUCAUAUCUAUUAUCUUAAUACAAUGGUGUUAAAAGAAGCCGUCUAAUAUUGAUUACCACGUUCGCCGAGAGGCCUAGAAAUUGCCACAUUAAUCGAAAAAAGAGAAGAAUAUCCACCGUUGGAUUCUAGGAUGAUCUAACGGUCUAAAUUAAUUCAAAUAAUCCUCUUAUAUUGAUUAGUUAUAUAUAGUGGCAAUAGUAUAGAUUAAUUCAAAGAGUCGUCUAAUAUUGAUUUGUCAUGUAGAGAGAUGCCAAUAAUAUGUACGUACGACUGUAUCUUAUAUAUAUGGGAAUAGUUAAUAGGAUCGUCGUAAGGUUUCAGUAAUUCCAUACUUCGAAUCAGCGCUUUAUGCGUGACUCUUAAGGUCCAUGAGUGCGCAGACGCAGACCUGCCAAAAGACGGCUGAGCCGCCGCUUGAUUCGAUACAUGUCACCCGCUGCGUGCCAUGCAGCUUGCCGAGGACGUCCUCCACGUGCACGUGCCAAUUAUGAUCUUGAUUUGGAUGAAAAUAAUAAGCUCAAGCAAUGCAAUGACGAGGAAAUCGCUUGGAUGGUGGGGAGGAGCUCGACCCGCGAUGAGACGCACGAUUUAAGUGGGGGUUAGGGUCAAUCUGAGGACGACCAACACGAUUUGAACGUGAAGCUAACUUUGCUCAAUAAUGCAAGUAUAACUCUAUUUGCACCAAAAACACAUGACCAUUCAAAUUCUCUACGAGGUUGCCGGAUGUUGUGAGUUGGAUAAAGCGGUGCUAAUUGAGCACAGAGGUACAAGUGGAUAUUAUACAACAAUGUCUAUCCAUACUAUUUGUAUUGGUUACCUUGCCAAAGAAGCCACCAUGCUCUACUAAUUAACAUUAUCAGAUUUAAUUAAAAUUAUAUAGUAACUAAAAUUACCAGUUUGAUUUUCAUAUGACUUUAAAAUUAAAAUAAACAAAUAAGAGCGUAUGUCAAAUAGAUGUAAAUGAGUAUGUAAGUUUAAGGUUAAAAAAAGAAAUUAGUAUAUGUAUUGGGAAUAUAAAAAGACCUAAUAAAAAAAUGGCUCAUAAGAUCUAAUCAAAAUGGAAAAAAUAUAUUAAAAUAGAAUAGAAAAUAAUCCAUAUCGAAUACAAUAUGAAAAAAAAAGUAACAUACGUUGGCAACAAAAAGGAUGGAUUUGUAGGAGUACAAAUUAAAGUAAAACAUAAUCUUCACUUUUCGAGCUUUGCUCUUAAUUUCACCGUAUGUCCAAACUUUGGGACACUAAUAAUGAUUGAUCAGCAGGGAGGACACCGAAGCAUCAUCAUGAAACAUGAAAGACAUAUUCAACUAUAUUUGAUAAAUUCGUCAAGGAAAUCAAGAAUUUAUGUAAUGAUCAGUUGUAAAUUUAUGAUGUCUUGGAUAAGAAUUCUGAAAAGAUCAAUCAACAAAUUGAACCGCGCUAUUUGUGCUGUUUGGUAAAACAAGAUUGAACCAUAGCAACAUCGGACAGAUUGAACCAAUAAAGACCUAGUCCGAUAAGAAGAUGAUGCUAAAAGUGUAGUUAAAUAUGAGGAAGGGCAUGGAAAACGGACAUGAAAAGUAGACAAGGGUUGACAACUUCAACCAUAUCUCUUGAACACCAUAGUGCAGCUCCAAGAAGAGGGUACACCAUUGAAGAUGUGGGGCCGCCCAGUGACCCAAGAAGGGGAGAGAGAAAGGGGGGAGGGGGAGAUCUUGAUGAAGUUAGCGAAGAAGAUAAAGACGAAAACAACAUCUAAUAGGGUUGAUAGAGUUUAGAAGGGUGGAGACACUGGUGGAAAACUAACCUUUAGUCUCGGUUGGUAAGCCUCAUAGCUCCCGAAGGACCAACCGGGACUAAAGGUCCCCCUCUUUAGUCCCGGGUAUUUCACCCAUGACUAUACCAACCAGGACUAAAAAGGUUCAAAAAAAAUAAAAAAAAGUAGGCUGGCGUCGCGGCGGCGCCACUCCGCCUGCGCCGAGCCCUCGCGCGGGGAGGGAGCUAGGAGGAGGAGGUCGGGGAGGCAGGGAGGGAGGGAGGGAGCAGAGGGAGAGGAGGAGGUGGGGAGGAAGGAAGGGAGCAGAAAGGGAGGAGCGGGAGAGGGAGCAGAGGCACCGAGCGAGUUGAGGGAGAGGAGAGGACGGAGCAGAUAAGGGAGAGAGAGGAGUCGGAGAGAUAAGGGAGGGAGAGGAGCCCUUUUAGUCCCGGUUGGAGCUACCAACCGAGACUAAUUCAUUUUACCCAGUUGGUGACUCCAACUAGGACUAAAAGUACAUCACGGUUGGUGGCUCCAAUCAGGACUAAAAGCACCCUUUUAGUCCCGGUUGGAGCCACCAACCGAGACUAAUUCAUUUUAUCCCAGCUGGUAGCUCCAACCGAGAUUAAAAGCUCUACUUUUAUCCCGGUUGGUGGUUCCAACCGGGAUUAAAAGGGCUCCGACAGACUACAAAAUUUAUACUCGGGACUAAAACUCCUUUAGUCCCGGGUAAAAAAUAAUCAGGACAAAAACGUUGGAUGGAAGUUCUCUUCUCUACUGCUAGCGAGAAAAAUCAACAAGAUCAACAUCUCAACACCAAACCACCUACAAUAUUAAAGACACAAGUCAAAUAAAUAGCCCGGUUGGAAUAACCAGGUUGAGUGGGGCUAUGUUGUAUUCGCUAGCUCCUCUCAACACCAGACUACAUAAAAACUGGUAACUCAUCUAUAUCUUCUCAACACCAGACUACAUAAAAACUGGUAACUCAUCUAUAUCUUCUUCUUAAAGCCUAAGAAUAAUUUGCCACCAUAACUAAGACUAACAAAAUUGAUAGUACAAGAUAAAUUAUUACUUUCUAUUUACAGAAAAAUACUAUGUUUCGCUAUAAGAUAUUUCCUUUUAUCAUGAUGACAAAAAAACAUCUUGAUCUAGGCUAUUUGGACAAAAUAAUGACAA